rnacentral:rRNA from 1 species
GACGAACCGUGCGAACGUUGUUCGGAAUCACUGGGCUUAAAGGGCGCGUAGGCGGGUUCGCAAGUCUGUGGUGAAAGCCCCCAGCUUAACUGGGGAAGUGCCGUGGAUACUGCGAAUCUUGAGGAGGGUAGGGGCGUCUGGAACGGUCGGUGGAGCGGUGAAAUGCGUUGAUAUCGACCGGAACUCCGGUGGCGAAGGCGAGGCGCUGGACCCUUUCUGACGCUGAGGCGCGAAAGCCAGGGGAGCAAACGGG